GGGACCCCGCACAAGCGGUGGAUCAUGUUGUUUAAUUCGAUGAUACGCGAAGAACCUUACCAGGUCUUGACAUCCCCCGCGAUGCUUUAGAGAUAAAGCGGAGGUAUUCGGGGAGACAGGUGGUGCAUGGUUGUCGUCAGCUCGUGUCGUGAGAUGUUGGGUUAAGUCCCGCAACGAGCGCAACCCUAUUGCUAGUUACCAUCAUUAAGUUGGGGACUCUAGCGAGACUGCCAGUGAUAAACUGGAGGAAGGUGGGGAUGACGUCAAAUCAUCAUGCCCCUUAUGACCUGGGCUACAAACGUGAUACAAUGGCUGGAACAAAGGGAUGCGAAGCAGUGAUGUGGAGCGAAACCCAUAAAAACAGUCUCAGUUCGGAUUGAAGUCUGCAACUCGACUUCAUGAAGUCGGAAUCGCUAGUAAUCGCGGAUCAGAACGCCGCGGUGAAUACGUUCUCGGGGUUU
rnacentral:rRNA from 1 species